UACGAAGGGUGCAAGCGUUGUUCGGAAUUAUUGGGCGUAAAGGGCGCGUAGGCGGGCUUGGUAAGUCGACUGUGAAAUCCCCGGGCUUAACCUGGGAGCUGCAGUCGAUACUGCAAGUCUUGAAUGCUUGAGGGGGUGGUGGAAUUCCAGGAGUAGAAGUGAAAAUUCGUAGAUAUCUGGAGGAACAUCCGAGGCGAAGGCGGCC
rnacentral:rRNA from 1 species